UACGUAGGGUGCGAGCGUUAAUCGGAAUUACUGGGCGUAAAGCGUGCGCAGGCGGCGGCCCAAGUCAGGUGUGAAAUCCCCGGGCUUAACCUGGGAAUUGCGCUUGAAACUAGGUCGCUAGAGUGUGGCAGAGGGGGGUGGAAUUCCACGUGUAGCAGUGAAAUGCGUAGAUAUCUGGAGGAAUACCGGUGGCGAAGGCGGCAUCCUGGACCGGCAUUGACGCUGAGGAGCGAGAGCCAGGGGAGCAAACGGG
rnacentral:rRNA from 1 species